GCUCACGAACACACUGGUCACCUCCAACAGUUGAAUGGCGGCAUUGAGUGUAUCUCCAUUUGGCCCUUCGGCUUUCUGAACGUCUUCUGCCAGCCUAUUUCUCAUCUUCUGGCCACUGUUGGGUCAGAGGUGUUCAUCCGUCAGGACGUGAUGAAUCCGUGAAACCUCGCUAGCGUUGGCCGACUGGUCCCACUGUAAAAUACCUUCGGAUCCAUCAUCAUUACAAGUGGUCGAUAUGGUAGGCAAGAGUUGCGCGUUACGAACAACGCA